CUACGGGGGGCAGCAGUGAGGAAUAUUGCACAAUGGGGGGAACCCUGAUGCAGCAACGCCGCGUGGAGGAUGACGCAUUUCGGUGUGUAAACUCCUUUUAUAUGUCAAGAAAAUGACGGUAGCAUAUGAAUAAGCACCGGCUAACUCCGUGCCAGCAGCCGCGGUGGAAUACGGAGGGUGCAAGCGUUACUCGGAAUCACUGGGCGUAAAGGACGCGUAGGCGGGUUGGAAAGUCAGGUGUGAAAUCCUACAGCUUAACUGUAGAACUGCACUUGAAACUUCUAAUCUAGAGUAUGGGAGGGGGAGAUGGAAUUAGUGGUGUAGGGGUAAAAUCCGUAGAUAUCACUAGGAAUACCUAAAGCGAAGGCGAUCUCCUGGAACAUUACUGACGCUAAGGCGAGAAAGCGUGGGGAGCAAACAGGAUUAGAUACCCCCGUAGUC
rnacentral:rRNA from 1 species